rnacentral:rRNA from 1 species
UCGCCUGUUUAUCAAAAACAUGGUUUCUUGUAAUUAUUUAGGAGAUCUGACCUGCCCACUGAAAAUAUUUUGAAGGGCCGCAGUAUUUUGACUGUGCAAAGGUAGCAUAAUCAUUAGUCUUUUAAUUAAAGGCUGGUAUGAAUGGUUGGAUGAGGUAAAUUCUGUUUUAUGUUAAUUGAUAUUGAAUUUAGAUUUUAAGUAAAAAUACUUAAAUGUUAUUAAGGGACGAGAAGACCCUAUAGAGUUUAAUAAAUGUAGUAAUUAAUUGAGUUAAAGUUUAAUUUUUGGUUUUUAUGUAAUUUAUUUAAUUGGGGUGAUUGGAAGAUAAAAUAAACUCUUCUUUAUAUUUAAUAAAUUAAUUAGUUGUAUGAUCCAUAUUUAAUGAUUAAAAGAUUAAAUUACCUUAGGGAUAACAGCAUAAUUCUUUUUAAGAGUUCAUAUCGAAAAAAGAGAUUGUGACCUCGAUGUUGGAUUAAGAUUAGUUAUGGGUGCAGAUGUUCAAUAACUAGGUCUGUUCGACCUUAAAAAUCUUACAUGAUCUGAGUUCAAACCGGAGA